rnacentral:rRNA from 1 species
GACGAACGCUGGCGGCGUGCUUAACACAUGCAAGUCGAACGGAAAGGCCCGGCUUUUGUGGGGUGCUCGAGUGGCGAACGGGGGAGUAACACGUGAGUAACCUGCCCUUGACUGUGGGAUAACUUCAGGAAACUGGGGCGAAUACCGGAUAGGAUCUCCUGCUGCAUGGGGGGGGUUGGAAAGUUUCGGCGGUUGGGGAUGGACUCGCGGCUUAUCAGCUAGUUGGUGGGGUAGUGGCUUACCAAGGCUUUGACGGGUAGCCGGCCUGAGAGGGUGACCGGCCACAUUGGGCCUGCGAUACGGCCCAGACUCCUACGGGCGGCAACAGUGGGGAAUAUUGCGCAAUGGGCGGAAGCCUGAUGCAGAAACGCCGCGUGCGGGAUGACGGCCUUCGGGUUGUAAACAGCUUUCGAAUGUGACGAAGCGUGAGUGACGGUAAUGGGUAAAGAAGCACCGGCUAACUACGUG